AGCACCGAGCGCAUCGCCAUCCGUGGCCGAGCAGCCAAGCGGCGACGGCGCCGACCGGAGGCGCGAAAGGGCUUGGCGCUCGCUGGCGCACCACCCUCCUCUCCCCCCUCCCCUCCCCCCGAAAAAACGGCGAGCGCCGGCGCACGGAAGUGGCGGAGGGCUCGGUGGCGGACGAGUCGCGGCGGCAGAGGACGGUGGCGGAGGAGCCCGGGGGCGGACGAAUCGCGUCGGUCGAUCUGGGACGGCGCCGGGCGGCGGGGCGUUGCGGCGGCGGAGGGCUCGACGGUGGAGGAGCUCGGGGGCGGACGAGUCGCGGCGGCGGAGGGCUCGACGGCAGAGGACUCGGUGGCGGAGGAGCUCGACGGCGGAGGAGCUCGGGGGCGGACGAGUCGCGGCGGUCGAUCUGGGACGGCGCCGGGCGGCGGGGCAGUCAAGCGGCGGCCCGAGCUCCUCCGCUCGAGCUGGGACGGCGCCGGGCGGCGGGGGACGACGCGCGGGAGCUCAACGGCGGAUCUGGCCUUCUCUUCCUCAGGCGCCAACAGCGAGGUGCCGCCGCCACCGCCGCCAUCUUCCUUCUCGCUGCAGCCUCCUCUUCAUCCGGCACCGCCAUCUUCCUCUCAUCGGCGACCGAGAGGAGAACGCUGGCGGCGCGUGAAGCCACGGAGCGACGAGGCGACGACCUCCACAACGCCGCGGCCCGCCUUUCUCCCCGUGCCGCACACCUCGAUUGAAGUGAAGCCCGUGUGA
rnacentral:lncRNA from 2 species